AGAGUUUGAUCCUGGCUCAGGAUGAACGCUAGCGACAGGCUUAACACAUGCAAGUCGAGGGGCAUCAUGAGGUAGCAAUACCUUGAUGGCGACCGGCGCACGGGUGAGUAACGCGUAUGCAACCUGCCCGAUACCGGGGUAUAGCCCAUGGAAACGUGGAUUAACACCCCAUAGUACUUUUAUCCUGCAUGGGAUGUGAGUUAAAUGUUCAAGGUAUCGGAUGGGCAUGCGUCCUAUUAGUUAGUUGGCGGGGUAACAGCCCACCAAGACGAUGAUAGGUAGGGGUUCUGAGAGGAAGGUCCCCCACAUUGGAACUGAGACACGGUCCAAACUCCUACGGGAGGCAGCAGUGAGGAAUAUUGGUCAAUGGACGAAAGUCUGAACCAGCCAAGUCGCGUGAGGGAAGACUGCCCUAUGGGUUGUAAACCUCUUUUAUAAGGGAAGAAUAAGUUCUACGUGUAGAAUGAUGCCUGUACCUUAUGAAUAAGCAUCGGCUAACUCCGUGCCAGCAGCCGCGGUAAUACGGAGGAUGCGAGCGUUAUCCGGAUUUAUUGGGUUUAAAGGGUGCGUAGGCGGUUUAUUAAGUUAGUGGUUAAAUAUUUGAGCUAAACUCAAUUGUGCCAUUAAUACUGGUAAACUGGAGUACAGACGAGGUAGGCGGAAUAAGUUAAGUAGCGGUGAAAUGCAUAGAUAUAACUUAGAACUCCGAUAGCGAAGGCAGCUUACCAGACUGUAACUGACGCUGAUGCACGAGAGCGUGGGUAGCGAACAGGAUUAGAUACCCUGGUAGUCCACGCCGUAAACGAUGCUCACUGGUUCUGUGCGAUAUAUUGUACGGGAUUAAGCGAAAGUAUUAAGUGAGCCACCUGGGGAGUACGUCGGCAACGAUGAAACUCAAAGGAAUUGACGGGGGCCCGCACAAGCGGAGGAACAUGUG
rnacentral:rRNA from 1 species